GCCCAGCUAGCCCAAUUGGCAGAGGCGCCUGGCUUAGAACCAGGGUGUUCCCAGUUCGACUCUGGGGCUGGGUACCA
rnacentral:tRNA from 1 species